rnacentral:rRNA from 1 species
CAUAGCGACUAUCGUGGCAUAUCAAUAAGCGGAGGAAAAGAAACUAACAAGGAUUCCCCUAGUAACGGCGAGUGAAGCGGGAAGAGCUCAAAUUUGAAAUCUUAAAGGGUUUCCCUUUACGAAUUGUAGUUUAAAGAAGUGUUUUCUGUUGGAGUUUCGGUAAAAGUUCUUUGGAAUAGGACAUCAUAGAGGGUGAGAAUCCCGUAUUUGGUCAUUCCUCCUAGCGUUGUGAUACACUUUCAACGAGUCGGAUUGUUUGGGAAUGCAGUCCAAAAUGGGUGGUAAAUUUCAUCUAAAGCUAAAUAUUGGCGAGAGACCGAUAGCGAACAAGUACCGUGAGGGAAAGAUGAAAAGAACUUUGAAAAGAGAGUUAAACAGUACGUGAAAUUGUCAAAAGGGAAGCGUUUGACACCAGUGUUGUUUAGUUGAAAAUCAAUUCAAUAAUUUUUGAUUUUGAGUAGUAUUGACUUCAUCAGCUUGCUGCUUUCUUUUCAGGAAUUAUUGAAUGCACUUUUCAGUUAACAAGUCAACAUCAAUUUCUUUUGUUGUAAAAGGGUAAGAGGAAGGUGGCUUACGUUUCGGCGCAAGUGUUUAUAGCCUUUGGCCUCUGCAAUCGGAGAGAUUGAGGUCUGCAGCGUAGAUCCUUCGGGGUUAGAUGCAUUUGUGCUAAGCUAUAGCCUUUCAUAGACAACUUGUUGACUAUGAUCAGUCAUGUAGCUUACUCGCUUAUGUCAUUUUACCUACGCUUAGGAUGUUGAUAUGCAUGACUGAUAU